GGGCGAAAGCCUGAUCCAGCAAUGCCGCGUGAGUGAUGAAGGCCUUAGGGUUGUAAAGCUCUUUCGCCGACGAAGAUAAUGACGGUAGUCGGAGAAGAAGCCCCGGCUAACUUCGUGCCAGCAGCCGCGGUAAUACGAAGGGGGCUAGCGUUGCUCGGAAUCACUGGGCGUAAAGGGCGCGUAGGCGGCCUGAUCAGUCGGGGGUGAAAGCCUGUGGCUCAACCACAGAAUGGCCUUCGAUA
rnacentral:rRNA from 1 species